rnacentral:rRNA from 1 species
UACGGGGGGGGCAAGCGUUGUUCGGAAUUACUGGGCGUAAAGGGCCCGUAGGCGGCCAACUAAGUCCGACGUGAAAUCCCCAGGCUCAACCUGGGAACUGCGUCGGAUACUGGAUGGCUUGAAUUCGGGAGAGGGAUGCAGAAUUCCAGGUGUAGCGGUGAAAUGCGUAGAUAUCUGGAGGAAUACCGGUGGCGAAGGCGGCAUCCUGGACCGACAUUGACGCUGAGGAGCGAAAGCUAGGGGAGCAAACGGG